rnacentral:rRNA from 1 species
UACAGAGGGUGCAAGCGUUAAUCGGAAUGACUGGGCGUAAAGGGUGCGUAGGUGGUUGCUUAAGUGAGAUGUGAAAUCCCCGGGCUUAACCUGGGAAUGGCAUUUGAUACUGAGCGACUAGAGUAUGGGAGAGGUAAGUGGAAUUUCCGGUGUAGCGGUGAAAUGCGUAGAUAUCGGAAGGAACACCAGUGGCGAAGGCGGCUUACUGGCCUAAUACUGACACUGAGGCACGAAAGCGUGGGGAGCAAACAGG